rnacentral:rRNA from 1 species
UACGAAGGUGGCAAGCGUUACUCGGAAUUACUGGGCGUAAAGGGCGCGUAGGCGGCUAGGCAAGUCAGGUGUGAAAGUCAAAGGCUCAACCUUUGAAAGCCGAUGGAUACUGCGGAGCUAGAGUACGGAAGAGGCGAGUGGAAUUCCUGGUGUAGCGGUGGAAUGCGCAGAUAUCAGGAGGAACACCAAUAGCGAAGGCAGCUCGCUGGGACGUUUACUGACACUGAGGCGCGAAAAGCGUGGGGGGAGCGAAACAGGG